UCAUAAAACUGCAUUAGCAAUAAUUACAACUACAGUUGACCCUUGAACAACAUGGGAUUAAACUGUGUGGGUCCACUUACAUGCAGAUUUUCUUCCACUUCUGCCACCCUGAGGCAGCAAGUCAGCUCCUCUGCUCCCUCCUUCUCCUCAGCCUACUCUCCACAAAGAUGAUAAAGAAGACCUUUAUAUGAUCCACUUCCACUUAAUUAAUACUGCUCCAUGAAGCCAGAAUUUGGACAUAUGGAAGGUCUUGCAUUUUUCACCAAAGAAAAAGCACUGGUAAAUGAGGUUUGUUCAGAAUUCAUCAGGAAACCUAUUACAAUUGCAGCAGCCCUGGAAACGCCUGCAUUACAAUGAACAAGAACCACUCCAUCCUACAAAA
rnacentral:lncRNA from 10 species